rnacentral:lncRNA from 1 species
AGCAUUUUGUGCUCCUAAGAUUUAUCUUUUUUAAUAUUGCCAGUGUUUGCAUUCUCAUGCUAUCUUGUUUUUGCAGGUUUUGUAAUUAUUGGAGGAGAAAAUGUAGGAAAAUUAGACCUUGGUAUCUUCAUCGCUUCAGUUAUCCCUGGGGGACCUGCAGACAGAGCUGGAAAUAUCAAACCAGGAGGACGACUCAUCUCUGUGAAUAAUAUCAGCCUUGAGGGUGUUUCAUUUAAUACUGCUGUUAAAAUCAUACAGAACUCUCCCGAUGAAGUGGAGCUCAUCAUCUCUCAACCCAAAGACAUGUAUGAAGAAGGACUAAAUGAAGAAAAGAAUCUAUCAAGAGGAAACAGCACUAGUGGAUCUGAGAUCUCUUGUGUAGACAGUGGAAGAAAAAAGAUUCAGGAUUGUCAUACAGCUCUCCCCAAAGAACAGGACACAAAUAUAGAUGAACUUGAAAAGACUCUCUCUUGGAAUUUAGCAUCAAAAUUGGGCCCUAGGAUUCCAGUUCCUUCAGCUGAUAGCCUGGAUAUAAAGGCAACUGAUUCUUCCCACUUACCAUCUCCAUCAGAAACCAACUCAAGGGAACUCUACACGGUGGAGCUGGUUAAAGAAGAUGGG